rnacentral:rRNA from 1 species
CAAUAGCGUAUAUUUAAGUUGCUGCAGUUAAAAAGCUCGUAGUUGGAUUUCGGGUGGGAAUGGCCGGUCCGCCGUUUCGGUGUGCACUUGCUACGCCCACCUUGCUGCCGGGGACGUGCUCUUGAGUUCACGAUCGGGACACGGAGUCGGCGAGGUUACUUUGAGUAAAUUAGAGUGUUCAAAGCAGGCCUACGCUCUGAAUACAUUAGCAUGGAAUAACACGAUAGGACUCUGGCCUAUCUUGUUGGUCUGUAGGACCGGAGUAAUGAUUAAGAGGGACAGUCGGGGGCAUUCGUAUUUCAUUGUCAGAGGUGAAAUUCUUGGAUUUAUGAAAGACGAACUACUGCGAAAGCAUUUGCCAAGGAUGUUUUCAUUAA